rnacentral:misc_RNA from 1 species
UUUCCGUAGGUGAACCUGCGGAAGGAUCAUUAUUGUAUAACCGAGGUGCGAGGGCUGUCGCUGACCCGAAAGGUCGUGCACGCCCGAGUGCCCUCACACACAUCCAUCUCACCCCUAUGUGCACCACCGCGUGGGUCCCCCUUUGGCUUGUUCGGAGGGGGGCUUACGUUUUCACACAAACUUUGUAUGCAGUGUAGAAUGUAUUUUUUGUUUUUGCGAUCACGCAAUCAAUACAACUUUCAACAACGGAUCUCUUGGCUCUCGCAUCGAUGAAGAACGGAGC